UACGGAGGGUGCAAGCGUUAAUCGGAAUUACUGGGCGUAAAGCGUGCGCAGGCGGUUUGUUAAGUCUGUUGUGAAAUCCCCGAGCUCAACUUGGGAAUUGCAAUGGAUACUGGCAGGCUGGAGUAUGGUAGAGGAAGGUGGAAUUCCCGGUGUAGCAGUGAAAUGCGUAGAGAUCAGGAGGAACACCGGUGGCGAAGGCGGGAUCCUGGGCCAGUACUGACGCUGAGGAGCGAAAGCGUGGGGAGCAAACAGG
rnacentral:rRNA from 1 species